AGUGAACGCUGCCGGUAGGCCUAACACAUGCAAGUCGAACGGCAGCACAGUAAGAGCUUGCUCUUACGGGUGGCGAGUGGCGGACGGGUGAGGAAUACAUCGGAAUCUACUUUUUCGUGGGGGAUAACGUAGGGAAACUUACGCUAAUACCGCAUACGACCUACGGGUGAAAGCAGGGGAUCUUCGGACCUUGCGCGAUUGAAUGAGCCGAUGUCGGAUUAGCUAGUUGGCGGGGUAAAGGCCCACCAAGGCGACGAUCCGUAGCUGGUCUGAGAGGAUGAUCAGCCACACUGGAACUGAGACACGGUCCAGACUCCUACGGGAGGCAGCAGUGGGGAAUAUUGGACAAUGGGCGCAAGCCUGAUCCAGCCAUACCGCGUGGGUGAAGAAGGCCUUCGGGUUGUAAAGCCCUUUUGUUGGGAAAGAAAAGCAGCAGGUUAAUACCCCGCUGUUCUGACGGUACCCAAAGAAUAAGCACCGGCUAACUUCGUG
rnacentral:rRNA from 1 species